UACGUAGGGGGCAAGCGUUGUCCGGAUUCAUUGGGCGUAAAGCGCGUGUAGGCGGCCAUGCAGGUCCGCUGUGAAAACUCGAGGCUCAACCUCGAGAGGUCGGUGGAAACCGCAUGGCUAGAGUCCGGAAGAGGAGAGUGGAAUUCCUGGUGUAGCGGUGAAAUGCGCAGAUAUCAGGAAGAACACCCGUGGCGAAGGCGGCUCUCUGGGACGGUACUGACGCUGAGACGCGAAAGCGUGGGGAGCGAACAGGAUUAGAAACCCCCGUAGUCC
rnacentral:rRNA from 1 species